rnacentral:rRNA from 1 species
GACGAACGCUGGCGGCGUGCCUAAUACAUGCAAGUCGAGCGAAGAGUUUCUGGUGUUUGCACUUGAACAACUUAGCGGCGAACGGGUGAGUAACACGUAAAGAACCUGCCUCAUAGACUGGGACAACUAUUGGAAACGAUAGCUAAUACCAGAAAACAGCAUUACCUGCAGGGGUGUUGUUUAAAAGUUGGUUUUGCUAACACUUUGAGAUGUCUUUGCGGUGCAUUAGCUAGUUGGUGGGGUAAAGGCCUACCAAGGCGACGAUGCAUAGCCGACCUGAGAGAGUGAUCGGCCACACUGGGACUGAGACACGGCCCAGACUCCUACGGGAGGCAGCAGUAGGGAAUCUUACGCAAUGGGCGAAAGCCUGACGGAGCAACGCCGCGUGAGUGAAGAAGGAUUCCGGUUCGUAAAGCUCUGUUGUUAGGGAAGAACGAUUGUGUAGUAACUAUACGCAGUAGUGACGGUACCUAAUCAGAAAGCCACGGCUAACUACGUG